CCACAAGACCCCCAGCCCUAAGUUGGGAAGUCUACCUUACAAGGCUGGGUGAGAAAGGCAGGCCCCAAAUGCACGUGGAAUCCACACACAGGCACAGAGGGAGCCAAGAUGAGGGCCUCGGAUAAACAGUCCCGGAUUUGCAGAGGGAGUCGCCUGAGGGUCCCGUUCUGGUCCUGUGGAGAGGUGAAGCUGGCUGGGCUUCUGGGUCUGGUGGGGACUUGGAGAACUUUUCUGUCUAGCUAAAGGUUUGUAAACACACCAGUCAGCACUGUGUCUAGCUACUGGGGUGGGAACUUGGAGAACUUCUCUGUCUAGCUAAAGUAUUGUAAAAACGCACCAGUCAGUGCUCUGUGUCUAGCUAAAGGUUUGUAAACGCACCAAUCAGCACUCUUUAAAAACGGACCAAUCAGCACUCUGUAAAAUGGACCAAUCAGCACUCUGUAAAGUGGACCAAUCAGCAGGAUGUGGGCGGGGCCAAAUAAGGGCAUAAAAGCUGGCCACCGAAACCAGCAAGCGCCAACCGUGGCGGGUUCUGUUCCAAGCUGUGGGGGCUUUGUUCUUUUGCUCUUCGAACUAAAUCUUGCUGCUGCUUACUCUUUGGGCCUUCGCUACCUUUACGACCUGUAACACUCACUGCCAAGGUGUGUAGCUUCACUCCUCAAGUCAGCGAGACCACCAACCCACCGGGAGGAGCUAACAGCUGUGCUACGCGCCACCUGUAAGAGCUGUAACACUCGCUGCGAAGGUCGGCGGCCUCACGGGGAGGAAGAAACAGCUCCCGACGCGCCACCUGUAAGAGCUUAACGCUCACUGUGAAGGUCGGCGGCCUCACGGGGAGGAAGAAACAGCUCCCGACGCGCCACCUGUAAGAGCUUAUGGCUCACUGUGAAGGUCUGCGGCCUCACCGGGAGGAAGAAACAGCUCCCGACGCGCCACCUGUAAGAGCUCACUGAGAAGGUCUCCGGCUUCACUCCUGAAGUCAGGCAAGACCACGAACCCGCCAGAAGGAAGAAACUCCGGACGUAUCUGAACAUCAGAAGGAACCAAUUCCGGACACACUGUUUGCAGGGAGGUGUAGACGCUGAUCACCGUUUCCAGUCAUUUUAAAAAUUCAGAUGGACUAUUACAUGUGACAGAUGAUGUAUGAAUGUAUUUG
rnacentral:lncRNA from 1 species